rnacentral:lncRNA from 1 species
GGAGCAGGAGAGGCUGGAGGAGCAGGUCUAAACGGCUGGAAAGUAAUCCUCUCUCUCCCGGAUCCAGUUACCCAGGGAUGCGGGGAGUCGGGAGGCGGAGGCGCAGGGCGGCAGCGCCCACGUAGCUGAGGCUGAAGUCUCAUGUGCAGACAUGGAAGUUACAGGCACCAGUUCUUGCUGCCAGUGCCAGAAAGGGCCCCGCGUGCUGGUGAUGCACUGGUACUGGGUCUGUGACUGUCACAGAAACCUCAGCAAUGUGACCGUUGGUCAGAGUGCCCUGGAGAGACUAGGCCAGACCUUGGGGUCUCUGCCAGCCCUCCCGGUGCAUCUUUGUGGAUUAAAAUUAGGCCAAGUCCCCCUUCCUCCAGGCAGGGGUGGGCCACCAGGGCCCACAAGUUGGCGAGGAAAGCAACGUCUGGAUCCCAGUCCUCAUUUGCUCCCUUUGCUCUUGUGCAGUGAACAGCCUGCGCAAUUGUACAUAAUGGCUCUACCCCCUGCCAGCAGCGGCGUCAUGGCCUGAAAUGUAGCUAUUUAAGCAGCUCACUGUCUGCAGGCUGUCUCCAGAGCCAUUGACGUUCUGGGCAGUGCAGCAAGGUGGGUCUCCAGAGGGGGCGCUGGACAGUGAGAUGGGAUGUCCCUACCCGGUACCUGCAGAUCCCAGGCCUCCUGACAGGUGAGGGCAGACCGACCGUUCAGGAUGCGAUACCAGGUGCUUCCAGCAGAGGGCGCUUUGGGACACGGUGACACCUUCGGUCUCUGUUCCUGGGGCCGGGCGGGGGUCCCUGCCUCCCCGUGUGCAGCACCAGGGAGCAGCCUCAGCUUCGGACUGUCUCUUGGAGAGGAGCCUCUCCACGCGCCCUCCGCUCCCGCCCCCUGCCUGGCCAAGGGGGCCUGCGCAGGGCUCCUGGGUCUGGGCGUUUGGGCCCGGGAGGAGCUCCUCGACCAGAACUCAGCUUCGUUCUGGGCACCCUCCUGGCAGCGGCCUUUUGGCCUCUGCUUACACACCCGCUGCAGCGGGGAGCUCGUGCUGCUGAGGUGGUCUCUCCCAGGGCACCCCCACCUCCCAGGGGGCCUUGGAAACGAGAGGACCCUCUGCGGCCGGUGGCGGCUCCGUUGUUGGCUGUGCCCCCCACCCCCAUUGGAGUCCCACCUCCUGCAGUCCCCACUGGGGUGUGGGUGCCAGGCUCAGCGGCCCUGGCUUGCUUGCCCGUUCCCAGCAGGCCUGGCUCUGCGGUGGCUGUGGGGGACGCCUGCUAAUUGUGGGCCCAGCCCCCCAGCCUGGGGAGGCCAGUGGGCCUUGAGUUCCCUUUGUCUCACUUAAGAAAGGAGUCACCAAGCAGUGGCUCAGAGGAGGAACAAUAAGCCUUUAUUGCAGCUGCCCUUGUCCAUAAACGCUCAACCUGCUGGCCGGCAGGAGAGGCCGUGCUGGCAAAUUAAAAGUCUCUGAACUUUCUUUAUGUCUCCUUGGACACUCCGGCGGCGUUCACACCGAGCUGGCCAGCUUGGCUCAAAGACAGGGAGGCAGGCUGGGGUCAAGGAGGAUCGGCCCCGGGGCGGGGGGGGUCCCUUCCUGAGCAGUGGAUGCUGCGGCGGGGCGGGGGCAGCAGGGGUCCCAGAAGUCCUUUUGGGGGAACCCGGCUUCCUGCCGGCCUCCAUCCUGUGGGUGGCAGACACGGCGUCCUCACCCAGCACCUCGAGGUCCACCCUCAAGGAAAGUGCAGCCUGGACCCAGCAGAGCUACGUGAACAGGCUGCCACCCGGGGCAAAGGAAGCUUCUUGCAAGAGCCGCCAUAGCUUGUGGGCUCCUUACUGGCCCCCCGCUCGCCCAGUCCUGAGGCUGGUAGGCCCUAAAAGGGCUUGGGGGCCGCCUCUGGUCCUGUUCCAGAGCUCCCCAGCUCCCACCAAGAUCCUCAGCUCCGAGCCGCUGGACUCUCGCGGGGCAGGGCGGAUGCCAAGAGGCAGCUGGGCCCGGUAGAGAGAGAGAGACUGGAGCCGUCCCGGUUAACAGUCGGCACCCGGCAUUAUUAUUAUUAUUAUGACUUGAGAACGUUGAGUUCAAUGCCUUUGUUUCACAGAUGGAAGAAGUCAGCAUCCAAGAACACACAUCACUUUCUCAGCUACUGAGCGGUUGGCAGGUGGGGUGGGGAUUUGACCUUAGGUUACCUGACACCACUUCAGCAGUUUUCUUGCUCUAUCAUAUGAUAUGAAAUCAUUUUUAUUUGCAAAAAGUUGUCCUAGAAACGAGGUCAUAAGAGAAAUGCAAACUUAGUCUGUAACACUACCGUGUGAUCUUUCAUGUUUGUGUCUGCAGAGCUGUAACCUUUCACUUCGCCCCGACACUGUUACCUCGCCACUCCCCGAAGUGCCCGGCUUUCCUCCCGUGUGCCAGUCUGGAGCUGGUCAUGCGGGCUUUCCAGCCACGCUGAGUCUCGGCAUCAGUGGGGAGCCCGCGGGGCCAGCAGUCCUCUUGCUCGCCAGGGCGGGCCAAGCGAUGCAGAAUAGACGUGAGCUUGGUGGGAGUGUACAGCCCGGGAGGGGGCACAGAGGAGCUUCGGGGAUGCCGGGAAUCUGGACUGAGCUGCGCCAUGGUUACAUGGGCGUCCACGCGCGGGAAAGGCCCCUGAGCUGCAGUCGCCUGCCUCUCGCUCUGGGAAAUUUACUGACAACAAACAAAGGAACGUAGUAGGCCUUUUGCCCUUCAGGGCCUCAGUUUGCAUCCUGACCACGUCUGCCACCCCGCUGGGUCCUGGGGCACAUCAGCCUCUUCUUCCAUAAACAGGGGGAGUGUUUCCUCCUCUUUCCUCUGGCCAGCGAGCUCCAGCGAGAGCAGGGCCUGAGAGGGCAGAGAACAGGGACGCGGCUGGCCCGCCCUCGGCCUCCUGAGAGUCUGGCCCAAGAGCCGCCGUGUGAGCAGACCCUCCUCUGAGGGUCGGAAGGGCCGUGGGUCUGAAGGGACAUCCCAGUUGUCAGGUGGCUUUUGACGUGUCGCCACGGGCCUCGAGCUGCUCUUCCAUAGGGUCUUGGGGGGCUUCUUUCCCCCUUGGAAGGGACCCCAGACGGGGGCGCCGAGGCUGAUGCAGGCCUUGGACAGUGGACGCGAGGGACAGGAGCCCUUAGAGGCGCUGAGGCUGCUGGUUUGGCGCGAAGAGGGGCCGGGGUGGGCCUGGCGAUCCUGGGCAGGGAGGGAGCCCGCGAGGGCUGUGCUGCUGCCACGAGGUCGGCUGGGUCUCUGGGGUCUGGGGCGGGGCUGGCGGGGCAGUGCCCUGGUCUCUGGCACGGGGCACCUCUGGACCCAGACCCAUCCCACGGGUUCUCCUUGUCUCCGGGCCUCAGGCUGGAGGUUCCCAGCUGCUCUGGGGAGGGCCCUUCCCCAUCUCUCUAUCUGAUGGUCUGCUAGGCUAGUUCCUGGCAAUUUCUUGCUCUGUUUCUUUAAUCCCUGCUUCUCUUCAAGCGCAGAGGGAAGAGGAAAAGCCUGUUGGGGGGCAGGGGGAGAGCUGAAGGCAGUGGCUCCAGCCUGAGGCGUCCGGACUGGAUGCCGACCCUGGUGGGGACGGCGAGGGGCCCUGAGGGCCCCAGACCGGAGCUGAGGGUCCCAGGGCGAAGGCUGCUCAUCUCCCCUGAGCUCUCCAGGGUGGGCCGAGGCUGCUGGGCUGCAGCCAUGUCCAUAGGCCAAGAGCAGAGGCCCAGGGUGAGCAGCGAAAAAGCCAAAAGCCAGACCGCGGGGGAUCCCGUCAGCUCACCGCAGCUCCGCAAGCUCCCAAGCUCGAGCUGACACCCAGGUCAGACCCGGGUCAGGGCUCAGACACGGUCUAAGCCGCUGCUGGGGGUUCCACGGGCCCCCCGAAUGGCGCCUUCCCCACUGGCUGCAGGGCCCGGUGGCUGAGGAGGGCCUGUGACUUCGCGUGAGCCCUGUGUUCCCUCCUGAAGCCUUCCCGCUUCCAGGGAAGGGGCAGGAGGGCCAGAGGGGCAGGAGCAGCCUCUGGAGGAUGGAGCCUGUGCGGAGUCUGCAGCUUCUUAGAGGAAAAACCUAUAGAGACGCUCAAAUCAUGACAGUAAUUAGGCCACUUAUUUUGCAAAAGUCCAAAUUAAAUGGAGAAUUUGGUGCUAAUGAAAAUGUUCCAUUUCCCCCUUUUAUUAAAUCUAGCUCUGUGCCUUCCCGGAGUUUGGGAAUGGCCAGCCCCUGCUGGCUUGCUCACUGCCAGUUCACAUCCUCCGACUGUGGAGCUGCUGAGACAGAACGCACUCCCAGGGCCUCUAGUUACUGGCUCCAUUGAAAAAUGUCCUUCAUAAGGCAGCAGCAUUAACCCACCCCAGCCGCCCGCCCCUCUCUGCCUGCUCCGUGGCUGCCAGCCUCUGCCUGUCACCGUCCUCUGCCUGGGCCCCUAGGAGCCCAGGCCCGAGGGGGAAGGGCCUGCGUGCUCCCGGUGGAGCCAGGCUUCUGGUCGACCCUGCUGGACCUCAGAGCUCAGAACUCGGAGCGCAGCCUCUUCUCCUAAGAGCCCCAGCUGCCUGCCUCUGGACCGCAGUCCCGGCGUGGGCCCAAGCCCCGAGAUUCGGAUUGGACUGGCUCUUUGGUCCCCACUUCACCAAGCAGGGGCCUCUGGCAACCCAGUUUGCGUCUCUGGGCUCCAGUCUCCUCGUCUGUAAUUUAGGGGUGAUGCUGGUGUCUGCCUCGUAGCCAGUAACUAGAGGCCCUGAGAGUGCGUUCUGUCGAGGGUGAAAGGGGGGAGACAUCGCAGAGCCCCCGUCACGGUGGGGGAGAGCCCCGUCUGAGGCCAGGCCCCCCCUUGAAGCCCCUUCUCUGGCUGGGGUUAGGAUGUGGCCUUGUCACUCCGGCCUCGCCAGGAGUUCCUCGGAAGGGUUUGGCAGAGGCGGGAAGGGCAGAGCUGGAGGAGGCCAAGGUCCCAGGACCUGCCCCGAGCCAGGCUAGGUAGCAGCGCCGGGCAGCCUGCUCCGAUCCCGCCGGGAGGAUGCCCAGGUUUGGGAGCCUGGCGGGCGAGGAUGGGGCUGCCAGUGGGAAGCGACGUCCUCCCGCUCAGCGCACACACCGCUCAGCCCCAGCCGCCUCCGUGGGAACCGCAGGACUCGGCGCCGGGGCCCAAGGACACCUACAGCCUGAAGCACAGGCCACAGGCCACGUCUCCAUUUCAACGCAACCCCACUUAGUCCACCCAUGAAGGCAUGUCGGGACCCCAGGGUGCAGCCAGCCUGAGGCUUGAAGAAGCUGGAGAGAGAAGCAGGGCCACCCGCGCCGUCUAACGGGCCCAUCACGCUCGCGCCCCCGUCCAGGGCCGCGCGCCCCACACACACCCGAUCCCGGCUGAGACACACGGGUGUCACUUGACCCCCCGCCUCCCUCCACCUUCCUGCCUCGUCCUCCGGUCUCUCCUCCUCCGUUCUCACGGGGUCAUUCCCUGCCCCUCAGGCCUCCCGCCCUCCGCCUCGCCUCGGCCCCUCGCUGGGGUCAUCCUCAGCCCUCCUGCCCGAGGGGCCGUUCAGCACGUGCCUCUGCCCCAGUCCCUUGGGUCACCGUCAGUCUCCCGUUAUGUGGUCGCUCCUGUGCUCCGUCUGCCUCUCACCUCCCCGGGACCUCGCUCUUCUCACCUCCUCCAGUCACACCGAGUAGCUUGUCGCUUCUCAAAUGCAAAGCAGUCUCGCCUACUUUGGGGUGAUUCUCGUUGUUCUUGCUUUCUUAAGAUUUCUUCCCACUUCUGAGAGCCGAAUCGGUUCUGUGUGGUCUGAAUGAAGAUAGCUGGGUGGCCUAGGACGGUCAGGACACCCUGUCCUCCAGGCCCAGUGAUUGAGGCAGGCAUGUGAGCAGGAUCCAAGCAGGGCCGGCUAGAAUCUUCCCUGGGAAUCGUGGCUAGAACUUAGGAAAGAAAAUACUUCCUACGGGCAGUGUUAUGCUGAAAGCAAGUGAGCCUAGGACUUUUGAGGGCCCUCUGAGUCACGACAUAAACAAAACCUAUCUGGAGUUCCCUAAUGGCCUAGUGGGUUAAGGAUCCAGCAUUGUCAGUGCUGUGGAUUGGGUCACUGCUGUGGUGUAGGUUUGAUCUCUGGCCCAAGAAUUUCUGUGUAUGCCAUGGGCACGGGAUGGUGGCGGGGGUGGGAAUCAUCUGAGAGGUGUAGAAAGAGACAGAACCUGGAAGUCUUCUCCUGGAUCCAGCCAUACCUAAACCCACUGCAAAUGGCUUUUCGAUUAUGUAAAUUAAAAAUUUCCUUUUGCCUGGUUUGAAUCUUGACUAAGAUAAUAACUGAAUUGAUUUACACGCCGUGUUCAAGCUGUCAGCAAGUCUCACCUUCCUUGUCUUGUUGCAAAAUAGGAUGACUCAUUUUGAGACUCAUCUCAAAUGUCAACAGCUCUGUCUCUUUUUCUCAUUCUGAUGGUGAUAAUGCCCCUUCUCUGUGCUUCCAUGUUUUACCUGAAACUGUGUCAUAACUACCCACCCCCAUCACCAGAUGUAGUCACUUUGAUGGCAGGAUCCAUGUCUGUUUCAUCUCUGCCAUCCCUUUGCCCAGAACAUGGUUAGACACCAGGCAGAGUGUAGACGGCAUGGUUCAAUGUAAUGAUAAAGUAUGAUUCAGUAUGAUUUGAUGCAAUGAUAAAAAACAGACAACUAAUUGCUAUUAUCUAGGGGUGCAUAUGUGGAUAGCAAAGCCAUAAUUAAAAAAAUAAGAAAAUUAAUAUCCUGGAGGUCAGGAUGGUGGUUAUCUGUGGGGCGAGAGAAGAGAAUGCACGUGGGGAGGGAGAGUCUGGAAAGAGAGGAUUUUAAAGUCUGAGUGAUGGUCAUUUUAUUGUAUGUCUUUAAAUUCCGUAUAUACCAUAUGUAUACCCUUCUAUAUGUAUAAUAUAUUUCACUACAAGGAAGAAGAUGAAUGAGAUUUUUUGGACCUAACUCUUUUUUUACUGUUUUCUAACUAUUGCACUGGAGUCAUAAAAUGUGUCAUUGAAUAUAUCAAUUAUUAGUAUCUUUUAAGACAUCCUUUGUGGCCUAUUAUGUAGUCAGUACAUUCCAUGUAUACUUGAAAAUAAAAUUUAGUCUCAGGGUUUUAUCAAAAUUGGACACAGGCCAUUGGACAGUGUUUUAUGUAUGUACACAUUAAGCAACUGUUCCUUGGGUAGUUCAGUCACGGGUAUUCCACCGCCUAUGUUUUUACUCAUUUUUUCCUGUUCCAUCAUUUUCUGAAGAAGCAAUGUUAAAAUUCCCCAUUGUGAAGAGUUUCCACUGUGGCUCAUGACUGGUGUCCAUGAGGAUGUGGAUUCAGUCCCUGGCCUCGCUCAGUGGGUUGCGGAUCUGGCAUUGCCACAGGCUUCAGCAUGAGCGGCAGAUGUGGCUCGGAUCUGGCAUUGCCAUGGCUGUGGCGGAGGCCGGCGGCUGCAGCUCCAAUUCAGCCUCUAGCCUGGGAGCUUCCACAUGCCACAGGUGUGGCC